GAGCUGAUAAUGUGAGCUGACUUCAGUAGAACACAUGUGAAAGGUGCAGCUGGACUAAACAGGGCCUUGUCCUUCAACAUUCACCUAGUUUCAUUUAGAGUGUAACAUGUAUAUUCACCAUCAGAGUAGGGCUGACCAAUACAUUUGGACAAGAAUGACAUCAUGACACUCAAUUUGGAUUCUGUUUUGGAGGGGUUCAGGUCCGUUGACAACCUUU